ensembl:lncRNA
GGGAGUAUGGAUUUGACCCCUGGUUGGGGAACUAAGAUCCCACAUGCCCAGCUCAGUGUGGCCAAAAAAAAUUUUUAAUUAAAAGUCUUUUAUAAGGUGGAAAAAUUUAUUUUUGAAUAUAUUGGCUGAGUACAUCCUUGUGGACUGAGCAAGAAAUCUCACAUUAAAGCAAUGUCUCCCAGUGAUAUUUUCAUGGCUUUCUUACCACAUUCUAACUCACCUUUGAUAUGUUUGAUGGGAAACCAUCAAUGGACACCCUGAUAACAUCAAACCACCAAAAUUUCCUAUCAUUCAUUGCACAUAAAAUUUCCUAUUUUUCCAGACUCUUAUGGAAAAGAAGAUUGGCUGCCAUGAAAAAGUGGAAUGUUGUUUAUUUUCCUUAUUGAAUGCAUGUGACAAACCUUUUUAGGACUUAAAAAUUCUGGUAAGAACUCCUCCAUAUAAGUCCCAGGAACCAACUGAAAUGGCCAGGCCAUGGUUGCUGAGCUCAGCCUGGUAUUUCCUGCCUCUGCAUCCAGAUUCCUUCCCUGUCCCUGGGAGCCCUUCUCUGCUUCUCCUUGCUGAGGUCACAUUCAUUUGCCUAAUGUGCUCCUAUCUAUAGAAGUAGCUCUUAAAUCUGCCAUGUGAGAAUCAUUUUUCCCACCUUGGACCCCACUCAUUUAUGACUAUUUCUACAUCCAGCAUGAUAACAUAAACGUUUUUGAAGUUGAAAGUUUUGAGUUAAAUUCUUCUUGCCAAGAAGCAUUAAGUUCCCUCUGGCUUUGAAUGAUCCCUCAUAGCAGCAGUCCCCAGCCUUUCUGACACCAGAGACUGGUUUCCUGAAAGACUGUUUUUCCACGGACUGGGAUGUGUGGUUUUGGGGAUGAUUUACAUGCAUUACAUUUACAAUGCGAUUUAUUACAUCAGCUCCACUUCAGAUCAUUAGGCAUUAGAUCCCAGAGGUUGGGUACCUGUGGGAACGUAACUCAAAUUCUUAAAAAUGGUAGGAACCCCAAAGGUAUUUCCUAGUUAAAGAAAUACAUAAAUAAGUCCUGUAACCCAGUGUCGUAGUGGGAAAUUAGGAGGCUUGAAGCCAUUGGUAAUAUAGUCGGGUAAAGCCUAUCUAAUAGGCAGGGUGAUUAAAUACUAUAAUUCUCAAUGCAUCUGGACCUGAUCACCCUUUUAACUCUUAGCCCCGU